rnacentral:rRNA from 1 species
GACGUAGGGCGCGAGCGUUGUCCGGAUUUAUUGGGCGUAAAGAGCUCGUAGGCGGUUUGUCGCGUCUGCUGUGAAAACUCAGGGCUUAACCCUGAGCCUGCAGUGGGUACGGGCAGACUAGAGUGUGGUAGGGGAGAAUGGAAUUCCCGGUGUAGCGGUGAAAUGCGCAGAUAUCGGGAGGAACACCGGUGGCGAAGGCGGUUCUCUGGGCCUUACCUGACGCUGAGGAGCGAAAGCGUGGGGAGCGAACAGG